rnacentral:misc_RNA from 1 species
CACAUCUCAAGCCUGGCUUGGUAUUGGACGGCCGCGGCGCCCCCGGCACCGCGCGUCCCGAUGUCUCCGGCCGAGCCGUCCGUCUCCGAGCGUUGUGAUCUAACGAUUCGCUUGGGAGCGCGGGCGGCACGACGCCGUCAAACCCCCUUCUAUCA